rnacentral:rRNA from 1 species
UACGUAGGUGGCAAGCGUUGUCCGGAUUUACUGGGCGUAAAGAGCUCGUAGGCGGUUUGUCGCGUCGACUGUGAAAACCCGAGGCUUAACCUCGGGCCUGCAGUCGAUACGGGCAGACUAGAGUUCGGUAGGGGAGACUGGAAUUCCUGGUGUAGCGGUGAAAUGCGCAGAUAUCAGGAGGAACACCGGUGGCGAAGGCGGGGCUCUGGGCCGAUACUGACGCUGAGGAGCGAAAGCGUGGGGAGCGAACAGG